UAAAAAGUCCUCCCUUCCUCCAUAAAUCAUCACAUCAAAGCUCAUUUUGUGAUGAUUUAUGGAGGAAGGGAGGACUUUUUA